UACCAGCACCCCGAGUGGUCGGGACGAUUAUUGGGCCUAAAGCAUCCGUAGCCGGUUCUGCAAGUCCCCCGUUAAAUCCAGCUGCUCAACAGAUGGGCCGCGGAGGAUACUACAGAGCUAGGGGGCAGGAGAGGCAAGCGGUACUCAGUGGGUAGGGGUAAAAUCCGUUGAUCCAUUGAAGACCACCAGUGGCGAAGGCGGCUUGCCAGAAUGCGCUCGACGGUGAGGGAUGAAAGCUGGGGGAGCAAACCGG
rnacentral:rRNA from 1 species